AUGUACAAACACUGGAUUCCCACAGCAAACAUAACACCAAGAAUAUAUGGAACACCAAAAAUACAUAAACAAAACACCCCACUUAGACCAAUAGUUGACAGCAUAGGUACACCAACAUACAACAUGGCAAAAGAUAUCAGCAGAAUCAUCAGCCCGUUAUUAGGAAAUACAGACCAACACUGCAAAAAUAGUAUAGAAUUGGCAAAAGAACUAAAGGAAAUUACAAUAGAAGACAACGACAUACUCAUCUCACAUGACGUCACAUCUCUGUUCACAAAAACACCAACCCAAAAAACCAUAGACAUAGUAGUUAACAGAAUCAGACAAGACAAAACUUUACAUAAAAGGACAAACCUCACAGCAGAUGACAUAGCACAACUGAUAGGACUGGUAGCUAACUCCACUUACUUCACAUACGACAACACAAUAUACAAACAACUGGAAGGCUUCGCCAUGGGUAACCCGUUAUCAGCCACCCUGUGCGAGUUUUUCAUGGAAGACCUGGAACAAAAAGCCAUAGCCACCGCCCCCCCAAACUGCAAAAUAAAACUAUGGAAACGCUACGUAGACGACAUACUGGAAAUCAUACCAAAAGGUCAAACAGAAACACUAACACAACACUUAAACAAUAUUGACGACACGGGCAACAUAAAAUUCACUUAUGAGUUAGAAACAGAAGGCAGCAUAGCAUUUAUGGACAUGAAAAUCACCAGGCAGACCGACGGGACCCUAAACAUAAACACAUACAGGAAACCAACACACACAGACCAAUAUCUAUUAUGGACAUCAGAACACCCCACCAUACACAAAAUGUCAGUAAUCAGAACAUUAUAUCACCGAGCAAACAUAAUAACAGAAGAGAGAGACCGUAAACAAGAGGACAAACACAUACAACACGCUUUAAAGACCUGCAGAUACCCGACAUGGGCAAUAAACAAAGGAAAACAACAAACAAAAACAGAAAGCAAAGAACAACCCAAAAAAAGAACCAGAAACCCAGAAAGACAAGAACCAAAACCAGUGAUAACCCUACCAUACAUCAGAGGCAUAACGGAAAAAAUAAGAGCAACAAUGAAAAAACACAACAUAAACACACCAACAAAGCCAUACACAACAGUUAGAAACAGAUUAGUACACCCAAAAGACAAAAUAUCAGCUGGACAAAAAUGUGGAGUCAUCUACGAAAUCCCAUGCAAAAUAUGCAAUAAAACAUACAUAGGAGAAACCGGACGCCAACUCAAUACACGGACAAUAGAACACAGAAAGGAGUGCGAGAAAGAGGCAAAUCGUAAACACACAAGAGCAGCAAAAGAAGAAGCAGAAAGCACAAUAAAAAAGUCAGCCGUAACAGAUCAUUGCUUAAGAGAAAACCAUAUAAUGGACUGGGACAGCACACGGAUCAUAACCACCGAACAACAAAAAUACAAAAGAUGGAUCAAGGAAGCAAUAGAGAUAAGGAGACGUGGAUGUGGGACCAUGAACAGGGACGACGGAGUUUACACGCUGGACCACGCAUGGGACUGCAUCGUCGGAGAGGGGAGAGCGGGCAGUAGAGGGCGACAACGUCCUCUGCUGCCCGCAGAUAAACGGAGAAGGAAGUGA
rnacentral:lncRNA from 1 species